AAGAAAAUGUAUCUCCAGCUUGCCUCGAAUUAAUAGCAGUUUCUAUGGAAAUGGAUGUUCAUGUCUUUUUUUUUUUCUUUUUUUUCUUUUUCAGUUGUGCAGACAUCACUACUUCAGUACAAAGUAGCAGACCUCUACAGUUCAACCUUUACUUUGUCAUUUCUCCAUCUGUCUAAAUGCGAAUCCAACAUAAACUUUCUGAAGGCUUGAAUGCUAGUCAGUUUCUAUGGAAAUGGAUGUUCAUUGUCUUUUUUUUUCUUUUUUUCUUUUUUCAGUUGUGCAGACAUCACUACUUCAGUACAAAUGAUGGAUUUUACUGGCUGGGAGCGCUGAGCACACGUUUGGCCUUAUCGAAUGAAACAGCGCUGGAAUAUUUCACGUUGGUAAAUAUGUGAACAGUAAGGAAACAGGCCCUUGGGCCAAACUCUGCCAGAUCUGCUGGUCUCAGCACAGGCUUGGCUCUGACGGAACGUCUCAUUAAUGAGAGAAGGAAAUGUCACAUACAGGCAAGCGGGGCAAAGCAUUUUGACUUGCCCCAUAAAAGUCCACGUAAAAUAAUGAGAUUCCCUGUUACUUGCGUUUCUGUCCGUACUGCGCCACACACACGAUUUAAAAAAUGGGUUGGGUAUUGUUUUAAGAUAAUUUGUAGUGUUUCCGAAUGAAAGUGCACACGCAGGUGAAAUGUGCGUCAUGAAAAUGCACAACCAGCACGUCCUUGACUUUUGUGUCAUAAAACAAAUAUCUAAAUGGAUUUCUGUGUAUUUUGGAAGAGUGAUGCAUAUUUUACACCUGUAAAUUAUUGAUUAAAAAGAAGAAUAUCAUGACAUUAUAAUCCAUGAUUAGAGAAGUGGUUUUGUCAUAAAAUUGUUUUGAAUAUAAAAUUGAGAAUAUUAAUGCAUGAUGAAGAUCAAGGUGAUGAAGCAAUUUUCUAUCAUUUAAAAAGGAUACAAGUGUUAUGCUGUGACGUCAAACCACAAAAGCAUGAUGUAUUGUAUGAAAUGGUAUGCUUUACAGCUCGAACAAUAAACAAGAUUUAACAGACGAAUUGAUGAGGUGCUUUUAUAAAAUUAUAAGUUUAAUAUUUCUCCUUUUAAAUAUAUAAUGAUAAUGAUUAAAAUAAAUUAAAAUAAAUCAAAUUAAUUCACAAAUAUAUUGGAUAUGCAAACAAGGGGAAUAUCAGCAUCUAUCCACCUUGAGCACUGACAAUAAUUUUUGUUAAAGUACUGAAACUGAAUGAAUACUUAGCAUUACCAUCUAACUGUGUGUAAAUCACAUUCAAUCUAACCAAAGCUUAAAGCUUUAAAAACACUCUAAGAGAUGAUCUAAUCCACGACAGACAUGAGAGUGGAAAUUCAUAUGUAAAGGCCAUUCUGAGCCUCAUAAAAUCAAAUCUUCAAAUGAGACCCUGUUUUGUGGUAGAGGAUGAGUUUGCUUUGAUAUCAUGCAUUUUUGAUUAGUCUGGCUUCGGCCAAUCGCCUGAUGUGCUGGUGUGUGAAGGGCAGAGAGAGAGAGUUUGGAGGUCAUGCUCACAGUCUGAAAUCCCCACAACAAACAGCCCUCGCGCAUCCCAGGAAACAAACACUCCAAUACGCCAAGUGCUUAUCAUUUAUCAUUGAGUUCCACUAGCGAAAUGGUAUUUGAACUCAGGUCAAAUUUCAAUUUUAUUUUUAUUUUUCCUUUUUAUAAGUGUAACUUCUCUUUUGCGGCCAAAGGCUGUAUGAGGUCUUUCAGUCAGAAAUGUAAUGAGAAUGUACGACCGUUUGGUUCACUGACAAGCUACAGUUACAUUAGCUACCUUUCACAUUGAAGCAACUGGCCCAAUUAGAGUCAAAUGACACUCAUGCACUGACAAGUGGAUAAUUAUGUGGGAAUAAUUUUUUUUUUGACUGAUUCAUGGCGCUAUAUAUAAAAUAUAUGCAUAUAGUUGAUGAUUGUUUAAAACCAUGUGGAAUUUGGUUAAAUACAGUUUUAAAAUCUUGUGUGUAACUUUACAUUUUGAUAACCAUGAACAUUACAGCAUGUAAUAAAUAAUAUAAAUAAAUAAACAAU
rnacentral:lncRNA from 1 species